GUAAGUCAUUCUAGUUCUUCUGCGUGGGAUGCUGCCACAGCAUGGCUUGAUGACCAGUGUAUAGGUCUGUGCCCAGGAUCUGAACUGGCAAACCUCGAGACACCAAAGCAGAGCACACAAACUUAACCACUCAGGCACGGGGCUGGCCCGCUGAUUCCAUAUUAUUUAGAUAAGGAAAAUAAUGUCUGUCUUGAAGAGUUCACCUAACAAACUUUUAUUGUCCAUCUACUAUCUGCAUGACAUAAUGCUAGAGAAACCACUGAGAAAAAGACAGACAAGACCUCGAUGUUCCUGGGGCAUGCAGUCCAGUGAUGGAGAGAUGAUAAAGCAAGCAAACGAGAAUCACAGCAAACAGUUUAGUGUAACAGAGAAGAACAGAGUGUGAGCACCGAGAACUGGGAAAUCAGCCCCUCUAAGGGCUAAAAGAGUAACUGAUGGAAAGCUCUGGGCACACUGGCCAGUUACUAUUAUAGUCCUCACCUGGUAGCUGCCAGAACUGCUCUCCUCAAAGGGGAGCCUGCCAUUAGCAAAUCA
rnacentral:lncRNA from 1 species